rnacentral:rRNA from 1 species
CAGCCGCCACGGUAAUACGUAGGGUGCAAGCGUUAAUCGGAAUUACUGGGCGUAAAGGGCGCGUAGGCGGCCAUUCAAGUUAGAUGUGAAAGCCCUGGGCUCAACCUAGGAAUUGCAUUUGAUACUGUUUGGCUUGAGUUCGGGAGAGGUGAGUGGAAUUCCCAGUGUAGAGGUGAAAUUCGUAGAUAUUGGGAAGAACACCAGUGGCGAAGGCGGCUCACUGGACCGACACUGACGCUGAGGCGCGAAAGCGUGGGGAGCAAACAGGAUUAGAUACCCGGGUAGUCCCUGUCUCUUAUAC